AAUUAAAAUUUUCAUCAAUUUUUACUAUUAAAAACUGGCAUAGCUGACAGAAUAACCAAACAGUUACACUUAGCGCGCCAUAUGUUACUCAUGUCAACGUAUAGGGACCAAUUUUUAAUAGUGGAAAAUGGAUGAAAGUUUUAACA
rfam:Gossypium hirsutum cultivar TM-1 unplaced genomic scaffold scaffold56.1, whole genome shotgun sequence